UUGAGCUACAUUGUGAUGCUGUGUAUGAGAUACUCGAGAGCUAAAAAUGUUUGAGUGACUUUCAGAGAAAUACUUAAGGUUUUGAGCUGAAUUUGUUCUCUGAAAUCAGUAUGAAGUGUGUGCUAAUUUACUGAAGAACAUAAGGACCUGUGAUGCUGUUUUCUGGUGCAAACAAUGAGGAUUGGGAGGUGAAAAUCUGUAGUGAUUACUUUUGGAGCUUGAACAAGGUCUGAGCAAGUGUAUCUUGAGGGUUUACAUCAGCUGAAGUGGCCUAAGACAACAUAUUAAGGCUGGAUCACCACAAUGCAUCAUCGAUCUCGGCACCGGUUGUUCUAAAUGAAGAAUUUGAAAUACUUUCGCAAACUUUCACCCGUAUUAUAUGUCAAUAGGAGCGUGUAUUUGGACAGAAGCUACAAUAGCAUUUCGAUUUUGGAGUUCAAGGGGUAAACAACGAGCAGAGCACAUCUAAACUAGUUUAUGAACAAACCUGGAGGACGUUAAAACCUCUCAAUGAUGGACAUUGUGUAACAAGCUGUUGGGAUUUAUAUGCCCUGACAUAGCAAAUUCCUAUUUUUAUUAUAGUGACAUAUAUUCUUGACA